rnacentral:tRNA from 1 species
GGGCCUGUAGCGCAGUGGUCGACGCGCCCUCCGGACGGGGGGAGAACGCCGGUUCGAAUCCGGCCGGUCCCG